UAUUAUACUAAUAGAUAUUAUAAACCUGAAUUAUUAAUAGAUAUAAUCUUUAAACUUGAAGAAUUUGGCGGUGGUUUAAUCUUGUUAGAGGAACCUGUUUUUGAAUCGAUAAACCACGCAAAAUCUUACUUUUUUUACUUAGUUUGUAUACCGUCAUUAACAGAUAAUCUUAAUAAAAGAGGUAAUUGUUAAAAUUUAUAAUAAUAUAAAUAAACUUAGAUCAAGGUGCAGCUAAUAGAAAAGUUAAAAUGGGUUACAAUAAAAUUUAUUUAGAUGGAGUAGCAGAUAAAAUAUUGCUAUAAAGGAGGAUUUAAUUGUAAUAUAAGUUUAAUAAGCUUUAAAGAUAUAAGCUCUAAAUCAU
rnacentral:rRNA from 1 species